rnacentral:lncRNA from 1 species
UUUUUUUCUUUUAACCACAAUAAUUUAUAUUAUUUCCUAUAUUCACACCCUAAAAAAAAAUAGUUGAUGAAUACAACAAUACACUUUACUCUACCAAGCAGCGAUUUUUCAUAAAUAAAACUCACUUCAUAUAAUAAUUCCACCAAUAUUAUUCUUUAUGAAAAAUACUCAUCACCAAUUAUCAUAUCAAAUCACACACCAAAUCCUUCAACAAUAUUCAAACCUUAUAAAAAUCAUGUAUAUCCAUUCCAUCCAGAAAAAUAUUUAUCUCAAUAAUUAUAAGAAAUUCCACUAACUAACAUUAUGAAAAUUUUAUCAAAUACAUAUACUAAUUCAAUACUCAUGAGCUUUGAAUACUAAAACUCUGAUGUUCUUUAUGUUUCACUAGAAAUCUUCUUGGAGAAGACCUUGGCCCUCUAAGUAGCAAGGAGCUCGAGUCACUUGGUUCCUGCAUUUUAUAUAUGUAUUCCAUAUUCAACACGUAUUAAAUAACACUAGCGUGCUUUUAUCAGUUACUUCAAUCUAUUAAUCAUAUAUCACUUAUCUUCUUACAUACUUAAAUUAUAUAUGAAUAUUAUUUAUUCCAUAGAAGGAUUUUUAAACCAUCCCCUUAGCAUCAGUAACUAAAUCACAUCUCUAAAGAACAUGGAUAUAAAUUUUACUCAUUAAACAACUUGACUUUAACCUGACUGUGAAGAACGCUGAAGGGGAAAGCAAGGAAGACUAUAUCAAGACAUGACAGAAAUUACUCCGCAGUUACAUCUAGACUUAUGACCUUUUGCUCUGAUACCACCUUUGUCACGACCCGUUUCCGUGGGCCGGACCGGCACUAGGGCCCAGGUAAGCAUAAGGCCCCCGAGGCCCGUAGUAAGCCUAAUUACUCAAAUUAUACAUUCCAUACCAUUUAUAAAAGUAACGCAUACGACAAGGCCCAAAUUUAAAUGCACAACCCUAUAACUGCGGAGUUCAAUAAUAUUCUGAUAAUAGAAUAAUUUAUACAUCCAAAAGUAAAUAACAGAAAUAUAAAGUUUACAUUUAUAACUCUGCGGAGAAGAUUGCAGAGCUUCCGUUGGAUCAGCAACUUCCUACUACCUGAGAAGUUUGGAGAGAAGGGGGGGUGAGUUUUGCAACUCAGUGAAUAAUAAUAAAUAAUACACACCACAUACAGUCACACGGAAUGCGCCCUAAUAUACUGAAUGAUCACACAACAAUCAAUCAUAUGGCAUAACAUCAGCACCCACAAACAACAUCACCUUCAAAUAAUCACAUCACGUGGAAAUUAGUCAGUGGAGUCACCGAACCCCCGAUGAGCCGUCCUCCCACAUGGCUCAUCCUCUCACAUGUGCACCAGGGAGCCGAUCCCCCAUACUGGCCGACCGGUCUAAUCCUCACUUGACCAGNN